GCUGAUUUGGUCUCGGUUCGGGUUGCAGAGAGGUCGAGUGGGUACUCGGCCACGUGGUGGCGCUUGAAAUCGUAAGCGCCGGUGCCGUAUACUUUCGUCAUUUCUUAAGUUACUGAGACGAGCGCGAAAUUUAGGUUUUUUUGUUUUCAAUUCAAAGGUGACAUUAGGGAUUUUGAGAGUAUAGAGAGAGAGAGAGAGAGAGAGAGAUAAACCCUGGUGGAUUAGUGGCGGUGAGAUUUCAUAAAGGGAGAG
rnacentral:lncRNA from 1 species